UACGUAGGGUGCAAGCGUUGUCCGGAAUUAUUGGGCGUAAAGAGCUCGUAGGCGGUCUGUCGCGUCUGCUGUGAAAACUCAGGGCUUAACCCUGAGCUUGCAGUGGGUACGGGCAGACUAGAGUGCGGUAGGGGAGACUGGAAUUCCUGGUGUAGCGGUGAAAUGCGCAGAUAUCAGGAGGAACACCGGUGGCGGAAGGCGGG
rnacentral:rRNA from 1 species